rnacentral:rRNA from 1 species
AGUGAACGCUGGCGGCAGGCCUAAUACAUGCAAGUCGAACGGCAGCACAGUGGAGCUUGCUCCAUGGGUGGCGAGUGGCGGACGGGUGAGGAAUACAUGGGAAUCUGCCCAGUCGUGGGGGAUAACGUAUGGAACGUACGCUAAUACCGCAUGCGCCCUUCGGGGUAAGGUACGGGGACCGGCAAGGCCUGACGCGAUUGGAUGAGCCCACUGUUCGAUUAGCUAGUUGGCGGGGUAACGGGCCCACCAACGGCGACGAUCGAUAGCUGGUCUGAGAGGAUGAUCAGCCACACUGGAACUGAGACACGGUCCAGACUCCUACGGGAGGCAGCAGUAGGGAAUAUUGGACAAUGGGCGGCAAGCCUGAUCCAGCCA